rnacentral:rRNA from 1 species
CAAUAGCGUAUAUUUAAGUUGCUGCAGUUAAAAAGCUCGUAGUUGGAUUUCGGGUGGGAAUGGCCGGUCCGCCGUUUCGGUGUGCACUUGCUACGCCCACCUUGCUGCCGGGGACGUGCUCUUGAGUUCACGCUCGGGACACGGAGUCGGCGAGGUUACUUUGAGUAAAUUAGAGUGUUCAAAGCAGGCCUACGCUCUGAAUACAUUAGCAUGGAAUAACACGAUAGGACUCUGGCCUAUCUUGUUGGUCUGUAGGACCGGAGUAAUGAUUAAGAGGGACAGUCGGGGGCAUUCGGAUUUCAUUGUCAGAGGUGAAAUUCUUGGAUUUAUGAAAGACGAACUACUGCGAAAGCAUUUGCCAAGGAUGUUUUCAUUAA